UCGAAGGCAGUGACUACAGGCUGGUGUGGUUUCCACGGGCAGGUUUCAGCAGCUUCUGUCACCAGUAAGUAUUUAGCAGCACCGUCUUCUAGCAGCACUUCCCUGUCUAGUUCAAUUUUGAAACACAAAAUGGAUGGGAACCUACCAUCCUGGGCCUGAUGCUGAAAAAUUGGAAAAUUAUAUAUCUUCCCUUCUUCGUCAGUAAAGAAUCCCCUAAAUUUGACUAGACACAAAGCCCAAAAUGAAGUCUACCUCUCUGGCCGCCCUGGUUAAUUUCUGCUCACGGGGGUACAUACAGAAGUGAUGCCUGCGACCAUCAAGAGAAAAGCUCCUGAAAGCUCUGUACCUGGAAGAAGGGACAACUUUCUGUGAUGGUCACACAAAGUCCUUCCAAGUGGAGGCCUUGCCUCAUUUGGCUUGGGUAGCAGCUGAAGCAUCUUCCAGCCACACUGCAAUUGUUAACAUGACAUUCCAUCCUACAGACUCAUGGUAACAUGGAAUUUGGAAUCACUUAAGCACUUUAGAAAUUAUUGAAUCCACUUUAUUUUAUAAAUGAGAAAGCUAAAGCAGAAAAAAAUA